rnacentral:rRNA from 1 species
GAAUCUGCCCUCAGGAGGGGGAUAACGGCUGGAAACGGCCGCUAAUACCCCAUAUGCCGAGAGGUGAAAUGAAUUUCGCCUGAGGAUGAGCUCGCGUCUGAUUAGCUAGUUGGUGUGGUAAAGGCUCACCAAGGCUUCGAUCAGUAGCUGGUCUGAGAGGAUGAUCAGCCACACUGGGACUGAGACACGGCCCAGACUCCUACGGGAGGCAGCAGUGGGGAAUUUUCCGCAAUGGGCGCAAGCCUGACGGAGCAACGCCGCGUGAGGGAUGAAGGCCUCUGGGCUGUAAACCUCUUUUAUCAAGGAAGAAGAUCUGACGGUACUUGAUGAAUAAGCCACGGCUAAUUCCGUGCCAGCAGCCGCGGUAAUACGGGAGUGGCAAGCGUUAUCCGGAAUUAUUGGGCGUAAAGCGUCCGCAGGCGGCCUUGUAAGUCUGUCGUUAAAGCGUGGAGCUCAACUCCAUUUCAGCGAUGGAAACUACAAGGCUUGAGUGUGGUAGGGGCAGAGGGAAUUCCCAGUGUAGCGGUGAAAUGCGUAGAUAUCGGGAAGAACACCAGUGGCGAAGGCGCUCUGCUGGGCCAUAACUGACGCUCAUGGACGAAAGCCAGGGGGGCG